GCAAGAUGACCACAGAUGACGAGUCAGAGCGCUGCGCCUUGACGAUAUCCUCUUUUUUACCAUUCAUGCCUUUCUGAUC
rnacentral:snoRNA from 1 species